GGCUCUUUGGUAAUGUAGAUAAAGAGUCGGACCUGCCCAGUGAAAAUUUUUAACGGCCGCGGUACUCUGACCGUGCAAAGGUAGCAUAAUCAUUUGCCUUAUAAUUGAAGGCUUGUAUGAAUGGUUUGACAAGAAUAUAGCUGUCUCUAUACGAUUUUAUAGAAUUUUAUUUUGAAGUGAAGAAGCUUGAAUAAAAUUGAUAGACAAGAAGACCCUAUCGAGCUUGAAAAAAGAUUAUGGAUGUUUUAAAAUAUAUCUAAAAAAUUAUCUGUGAUAAAUUUUGGUUGGGGCGACUUAGGAACAAAUUAAGCUUCCUAAAUUUACUUAAUACAGACAAAAUGAUCCAAAAAAUUUUGAUUAAUGGAAUUAGUUACCGUAGGGAUAACAGCAUUAUCUUCUUUAAGAGUUCUUAUCGAAAAGAGGGUUUGUGACCUCGAUGUUGGACCAGAAUAUCCUAAAGAUGCAGCAGUCUUUAAGGGUUGGUCUGUUCGACCAUUAAAAUUCUACGUGAUCUGAGUUCAGACCGGCGUGAGCCAGGUCAGUUUCUAUCUUUAAUUUAAAUUAUAAAUUUAGUACGAAAGGACCAAUUUAUUAUAAUUUGUUGUGCUGGAAGAUACAAUUUAAUGAAGGUUAUAUCAAAUUAGCAAAAUGAAUGCAAUUGACUUAGGAUCAAUAGAUAUAGGUGAAAUUCCUUUAUUUGAUAAUAAAGAUGGCAGAUGAA
rnacentral:rRNA from 1 species